rnacentral:rRNA from 1 species
AGAGUUUGAUCAUGGCUCAGGAUGAACGCUAGCGGCAGGCCUAACACAUGCAAGUCGAGGGGUAACGAUGUNUUNGGACAGGCGACGACCGGCGCACGGGUGAGUAUCGCGUUUGUAACCUACCUUUAACUGGAGAAUAGCCCGAAGAAAUUCGGAUUAAUACUCCAUAACACUAUGAUCUGGCAUCUUAUUAUAGUUAAAGCUCCGGCGGUUAAAGAUGGACAUGCGUAACAUUAGAUUGUUGGUGAGGUAACGGCUCACCAAGUCUACGAUGUUUAGGGGGUCUGAGAGGAUGGUCCCCCACACUGGUACUGAGACACGGACCAGACUCCUACGGGAGGCAGCAGUGAGGAAUAUUGGUCAAUGGGCGCAAGCCUGAACCAGCCAUGCCGCGUGAAGGAUGACAGCGCUACGCGUUGUAAACUUCUUUUGUACAGGAAGAAACGCUUCUACGUGUAGAAGUUUGACGGUACUGUACGAAUAAGCAUCGGCUAACUCCGUGCCAGCAGCCGCGGUAAUACGGAGGAUGCAAGCGUUAUCCGGAUUUAUUGGGUUUAAAGGGUACGUAGGCGGAAAAUUAAGUCAGUAGUGAAAUCCUGCAGCUUAACUGUAGAACUGUUAUUGAUACUGGUUUUCUUGAAUACAGUUGAGGUAGGCGGAAUGUGUAAUGUAGCGGUGAAAUGCUUAGAUAUUACACAGAACACCGAUUGCGAAGGCAGCUUACUAAGCUAUGAUUGACGCUGAGGUACGAAAGCGUGGGGAGCGAACAGGAUUAGAUACCCUGGUAGUCCACGCCGUAAACGAUGAUCACUCGUUGUUGGCAAUACAUCGUCAGCGACUGAGCGAAAGCAUUAAGUGAUCCACCUGGGGAGUACGCUCGCAAGAGUGAAACUCAAAGGAAUUGACGG